rnacentral:lncRNA from 1 species
UCACUGGGAAGAUGAACAACUGAGCCCAGUAGGCUUGAAUACCAAAGAUGACAGAUUGCACCAGUUGUAAUCUUCCAGAGUAGGACAGGGUUCUGGCAGUCCAAGAAGUGAUCCUGGCUGUGAUUUUCUCCACUAGGGGUUGCCAUUGCAGUAAGGUGAGUUUCUUGGUGCUCAAUGGUACUCCCAAGUAUUUAGGGUUUUGGCAGUCCAAGAAAUGAUCCUGGCUAUGAUUUUCUCCACUAGUGGUUGCCAUUGCAGUAAGGUGAGUUUCUUGGUGCUCAAUGGUACUCCCAAGUAUUUGAAAGGCAGUUGGCCUGGUUCAUAGCCAAGAUGAUGGAGGAUCUGUUGCUGUACUAGUAUUGGCACUCC